UGGAGAGCUCCUGGGAAGAGGACCAAUCACCACCGGAGCUGAAGAACAUCAUCUGUCUCCAGGCAGCCAGCUCCGUAACCUGAUUCAGAUGAAUUAAGAGCAUUAACUCAACUCAACAAGCAUUUGUUGAUUACAUGCUAUAAUCAUGGCACAAAGUAUUCAUCAAAUAACAUUCAGCUCAGCUGAUGAGUUCACCUGAGCAAUGGUGAAAGUCGAUCCAGACACGGAGGUAAUGUUGUGUAUUUUUCAGUGGAAAAUUAUGAGGGAGCAGUUUAUUUAAGAGAGCCAUUUAAAGCAACUGGUUCAUGCACAUAGGACUUGUUGGUGGCAAAGAAUAGGUGGGAAUGAUGUUAAAUGAAAAACAGAAUUAUUGUCUUUGCAAGGUCCAUCUGUUUCAUUAACUUUAUCAUUGUGAGAGGACAUGUGACUGGAUAUCAGUACCCAGGCUUUUGCAUCAGAAUAACGUGCUUGGUGACCACAACAGGAUUACUUACAGUUCUCCAAGUAUCUUUGUUUUCAUCUGUAAAAUGCUGAAAGAUUUUUUGUGAGAACAAAUCAUAGUACCUUAUGCCUAUUGUAAUUCAACAGACCUUAGUUCAAACCUCCCUUGAGAAAGCAGUGCUGGGUUUUCAGUGGGGAUAAAGUAAAUGGUGACAGGAAGGUGAGUCAGUGGAAUUCAUUUCAAAUAUGGAGGCACUCCAACUUUCACACACCAAACUCAUUUACACACACCUAAAAGCCAGAAAAUAUUGUAGCAGAUUGCAAAAAUAGCCACAAGUUCUUUGCAACUCAUUCUAUCAAGAAACGCAAUCUAUUAACCCGCCUCUUGAUUUGAGCCGCUACUGUGACUUGCCUUGACUAACAGAACAUAGGGGAAGUGACCUUGUGAGUCCAGGUUUAGACUCAAAAGGCCCUGUAGUUUCUCUCUUGCACUAGGGAGCCUUCCAGCACCUGUGCAUAAGCUUCAGUCAGCCUGCUGGACGAUGAAUCCACGUGGAGAGAGGCCCAGCAAGCCCAGCUGAACCAGUUGAGGCUGCAGACAUGUAAGAGAGGCCACUUGAGAACAUCUGAGCCCAGCCUAGAAUAUAAAGACUGCCCAGAAGCGACUAGAACAAGGAUCCUUGUGUGAUAGCUGGAUGAAGAAGGAAUAGGAGAAAAGGUUACGUUGAAGACAGACAGCUCAUCUCCUAUUCCUUAGUUGAUGACAGUGCCUUGCCGGGACUUUCCCUGCAUCCCCCGGGAAAUGAGAUCUGAGACCAGACAUUCAAUUUCCCAUGCAAGAUAAAAUUCUGAUCUGGCAUGGGUUUCUACGAAUUUUUUUUAACUGUUAUAUUAAUAGGUGAAAUUCUGGAGCACCGUCAAGAAAGAUUUUGAUCAUUUGCCAAAAUCUUGAGUAACUCCUGCGAGAUA
rnacentral:lncRNA from 1 species